rnacentral:rRNA from 1 species
UACAGAGGGUGCGAGCGUUGUUCGGAAUUAUUGGGCGUAAAGCGCGUGUAGGCGGUGAUGCAUGUCGGGUGUGAAAGCCCUCAGCUCAACUGAGGAAGUGCGCCCGAAACUGCAUCGCUGGAGUGCCGGAGAGGAAGGCGGAAUUCCCGGUGUAGAGGUGAAAUUCGUAGAUAUCGGGAGGAACACCAGUGGCGAAGGCGGCGACCUGGACGGACACUGACGCUGAGACGCGAAAGCGUGGGGAGCAACAGGG